rnacentral:rRNA from 1 species
UACAGAGGGGGCAAGCGUUAUUCGGAAUUAUUGGGCGUAAAGCGCGUGUAGGCGGUUUCCUAAGUCUGAUGUGAAAGCCCUGGGCUCAACCCAGGAAGUGCAUAGGAUACUGGGAGACUUGAAUACGGGAGAGGGUAGUGGAAUUCCUAGUGUAGGAGUGAAAUCCGUAGAUAUUAGGAGGAACACCGGUGGCGAAGGCGGCUACCUGGACCGAUAUUGACGCUGAGACGCGAAAGCGUGGGGAGCAAACAGG